GGAUGGUUAAUGGUUAGAGUGUUGGACUUGUAACCCGAAGGUGAACCUGGGUUCAAGUCUCAGGUCCG